CUGGCUAGCUGUUCUACAGAACUGUCCUGGAAAAGAGUUGUGAUAACCAGCAGCUGUGUGAGUGGGUGAGCUGCUCCAUUAAGCAGGUGCUGCUCUGCUGCCGAAGAGCAUUUAUAGCCAAAGCACCAGUGCCACUGGGAGUGCAGGCUCAGGGAAAGUUAGUGGCCUAAAAAGGAAGAGCUGUCUAAGGGCCAAGCUAUUUCUGCUAUACUGCUCUCCACAGAAGGAUGAGAAGAGACCACAGCCCUAUGGAAUGCUGCUUGCCUCGUGGUUUCACUUCAUGCUAAGCAGAACUAACUGGUCCUCCUCCUGCGGUUGCUCCCUCCUUAGGACUCUGUUUCCUCUUCACUCUUGCAUCAACACUGAUCCUUCUCUGAUGUCAUUUCAGGGAGUUCCACAUGGAAGGACGUGUCUGUGAAGCACAGCCCAUUUUCUGAUCCCUGACCUGCAAACUGAUGUAAACAG